rnacentral:misc_RNA from 1 species
UUAAUUAUAUAUAUAAUUCUUUGCUCUUGUAAAUAUAAAUGGCUAAUGACCAGAACGCACAGAUAUGAACAUGAAACCAUGGAUAUAAAUGAAGGCAGAAAUGAAAGCAGAGAUCAACGCAUAAACGAAAGCAUAGAUGAUAUAAGGAGUGAAGACAUAGAUGACAUUUUGAAUGGAAGCAUAGAUAGCAAUUGGAAGAAAAGCACAAGUGACAGCAUGCAGAAUUAUGUAUAUUUAAGCCUAGAAUCCAUGUCUAAACGCGACCAAGCGCCUGAAAACCAUUUUAACUACAGUGUAUCAACUUCAAUCAUUAAUGAGAUGGGUAAAAACAGAUAUAAAUGCAUGAAUGAAAGCAUGAAUAAACGCAAGGUUAAACAUUUAAGUCUAGAGCAUAUAUCUGAUAAAUAUGCUCAAAGACAGUCGUUUAAUUCUGAUGAAAUAAGCUCUGACAAUUAUGACAGUAUAUAAUGAAAAUAACUGUUCGUAAUCUAAAAGAAACAGAAGAUUAAAAUUGACGAUAUAUCGAUGAGUAUAAUUUAUAGUGCAUAAAUUAUCACAUUUGACUCUCAAUUUUAAGUUGCUUAGACUAUGCAUUUCUGUUAAAUGCACAUUGCUUAUAAGUUAUUUAAAGUACAUAAUUUUAAAAUUUCUAAAAAACCGUCACACGGUGUAAUAAUAAAAUCUUAAAAUAAAAUGCCUGAAGCUGAAAGAGACUUUCUAUGAUAGCAAUAAUACGAUUGAUGCGAAUAAACCAAUUAUUCUUAAGGACAUCGUGUGUGUCUCUUAUAAAAACUGAGCAAUGUUUAUUAUUGCAGCAAAGAACGCAGAGAUACACUGACCACAAACUGUUCAAAAUUCUCCAGUCGUUGCGAUCAAUAUGUAAAGUACUUGCAAAUAUUCUCCUGUUUUUCAUCCGAUUGAAGCAACAUUGCGGUACUAAUAGCAAUCAGUGGACAAAAAAGAUUGUGAUCAUUUCUUAUUGAGUUUAUAAAAGAGACUAAACAAUAAUUAACAAUGCAUUACAUGUUGCAAAUUUUAUAUACCAUCACAUUUAUAAUCACAUUUUCAGUCGCUUUAAACAUAUCAAACAAUAGUGCAAAUAUAAGUACAGAAAGUAAGACAAAUAAUACGCAAAAUAAUUACAUAUUGAAAGAAUUCAAAUUUUUACCACCUAUUCUUACAAUGUUAAUAUUUGGAACUAUACUUAUGUACUAUUGUUCUGUUAAGUGCAAAAAAUUCAAACUUGCAAUAAAGAAUCGAAGAAAUAGCGGAUUAAAACAGGAAAAUAAAGCCUCGGGUAAACGCUGGGUUGAUUGCAGCGAUGAACGCACAAAAAAACGCAGAGCUAAACGUAAACGCAAAAAAGGAACACACAGAAUCCACGCCUAUACAUGCCGAAAAGCUUAAAAGACAUUCGUAUAGUUCAAAUAGUAGUGGAUCAAGCUGUGUACAAGUGAUAGAAGUAAAAGCACAAGUUCAUGCAACAGAAGAAAAUGAUGACUAGAUAUAUGUUUAACAAGUACAUAUAUAUAUAUAUAUAUGUUUUUAUAUAUAUUUAACGAGUUAUUUGUCGCACAAAGUAUUCAGAUCGAUUCUUAAUUUUAAGUUGUCUGUGCAUAUUUUGUUAUGUGCAAAUUGAUUAGAAGAUAAAAUAUCUUUUUGACAAACUUACGAUCUAGUAAGGAUACAAAAGAUUAUAAGAAAUCAAGCAAGAAACUUACUCAACGUCGCUUAUGCAAUAUUAUAAUAAAACUUGUACUGCGAUUCAAAAAUUACUAACAAAAUCGCAAAAUUAUUCUAGCAAUUUUAGUUGUUCAUGAUUUUUCUGUUAUUAGAAAUUUUAUUACCACAAUUCUUCAAAGA